UUUUUUACCAGCCAAGCUAAUUUUGAAGUCCAUACGACAUAGGCAAGACACAAGACACAAGACACAAGACACAAGACAAGACAAGACACAAGACACAAGACAAGACAAGACACAAGACACAAGACACAAGACAAGACAUGACAAUUUUAUUCUUUAAAAUUUCUGAAAGUCAAAUGUGACAAAUGUAUGAGAAGAUAGUAAAAUUCUGGAAUUACAAUAACCACACAAAUUUAAGAUUUGUAAUACACUUGAAACAACGUAUUACUUACAAUUCUGUCUCUGAUUCUUUAUAAUUUCCUAUUUGUUUGUUACAGAUAUGUUUAAACUAGAAAGAAACUCCACAUAAAGACGAUGACCGAAACAGAUGCUCGGGAUUGCGUUUGCGAAGGAAAAAAUAAAUUAGGAGGCAUAACCAGAACGUUCAACGUCAGUUUCCCGACACGUGACAUUAUAGAAACUAAUUCUAAAAGUAAGUUUUCAUUAUAAUUAUUGUACAAUCUAGGAUAAAAUAUCAAUAUAGGAGAAGACAGCAAUAAGUCGAAAAUCCUCCAAAAAGCGGCGAAAUCGGGGACUAGAAUUAACUAUUUGAUGUUUUCUAUGCACGAAAAAAUUAUUGGAAACAGUUAAUUGUUUCCCCAAGUUGCACCGAUUGUGAGUGAUAUAACUUCUUUAGAUGCUCUUAUCUGAACGUCGGUAUUACAAACAAGUUGAUUUCUUUAAAAUAAAAUAAAAUAAAAGCAAUACGUGAACCUAACACCGCUGAUUGGUCAUCAAAAGAUUGUUGCUGAAUUUUUGUAUCCAUUUGAAUUGGAAUAAUUGAAUGUGAAUGGAAGACGAUAAUGAUGAAGUUAACUACAUGUACCUUUAUUAAAAAUAUGUAAUAGUGUGUAAAUUCUUGCACUAGUCAGUAAUGUUGGAUAGUUGUGAAUAGAAAUGUGUAUAUAUAUACAGCUACAGAUGCGCAUUUCGACAAUCAAUGUCUCUUCAGUGCGAUAUGGAUGCUCAAGGCCAAAAUCUUUGAAAAUCCAAAGCUUAAUAAAAUAAACCAAAAAGGACAAAAAGAAUAGACAAAGCCAGGCAAUGAAUCGGAGCUUAAAAAUAGAUUAAUAAUAGCUCAUUUAUAUUUGUUGAAAAGUAACAAGAAAUAUUAUUUUUGAUAAUUUCGCGAUGAAGAUAAUAUCGUGAAAAUAUUCAUAUAUUAAUCAAAAACAAGAAUACACGGUGGUGUAUGUUGAAUAGGCAAUUAUCCCAACAGACAUCCUAUCGACCUCUACAAGAGACAGACAAUAAUUCACUUAUAGUAUGUUUAUGUUCAUAUAAUACAGAAAAACGCGACAAUUAUUAAAAUUAAAACAAAACAAAACAAAACAAAAAUGACGCAUUUUGAACAGGGAGACGGUAAAAAAAAAUGUCCCAAAAUCCUAAGAUAACGAUAGGGUUUAAUUUAUAUUUGUUAAUUUAUUUGUUCUUUUUAGUAGUUAAUGUAGCGAAAAAUCAUUUCUUCUUUUAUUAAUAGUUUUUAUUUCAAUUUUGACAGAUUUUGAACAAAAUGAAGAAUUCAAGGAAUUGAUGAAAAAGAUGCAAGAAGUGAUCACGGAUUUAAGGAAACAAACAAAAGAUCGAAAUAAAAACAAAGUUCAUAUUCAUAGUGACGACGACGAUAAUGAUGAUGAUAACAUCGACGACAAUGAUUAUGAUGCUGAUGAUGACCAUAAUGAUGAUGACAAUGACAUUGAUGACGACGAUGAUGAUGACGAUAGGGAUGAUGACGAUAGUGAUGAAGACGAAAGUGAUGACGAGGAAGAAGAUGGCGACGAUGAGGAUGAAGAUGACGACGACGAUGAUGAUGAGGGAGAUAGUGACGAAGAUGAUACUGAUCAUGAUGACGACGAUGAUGCUGACGAUGACGAUGAUGACGAUAAUGAAGAUCAUGAUAAGGGACAACAUAUUCAUAUGCAUUUGCAUUUUGACGGUCACAAGUUUAAGCCUCUUACUGCAGGAGGAACAUACAUGUCUUCCCCAGGAUUACUGCGGGAAGGACAUAUGUGUCUUUUGUGUCAAAAAAGUAAGAUUGUUUUUAAUAUUUUAUAAGAUAUCUAAAACUAUCGCUUUCUUCAUUUAUUGCAAUCAUUUCAUACAUCUGAAUAUUUGUUAUAUAGUUAACGGCACGAUAUAUAACUACAC
rnacentral:lncRNA from 1 species